UCCCUGGUGGUCUAGUGGUUAGGAUUUGGCACUUUCACUGCCACAGCCAGGGUUCAAUCCCUGGUCUGAGAA
rfam:Sus scrofa chromosome 7.